CGGGAAUGAAACCUUAGCUGGGCAGGUGCCAAAUCUGUUCCAAGAGCCUGAUGGUCACCUGCAGCAAGAAGAGGGCAAGGAACAACCACGGGAGUGUGUGUGUGUGUGUGGGGGGGGGGCAGGGCUCAGUUCCUGCGAUGCAAUGUGAGGUGCUGUCUGGAUCCUUACAGGAAAUGUUCAGUAGACACAGAGUUCAGGAGUGAGGUCUGGGUAGGACAGAAGCUGCAAGUUCGCUUCUUCUAGGUGACUAAAUAUGGCCUCUGCUUCCAGCCUCCACCUCCUUGAUGUCAGUCGUGGCUGGUCACACCAUCAAGUUCACUUUAAGUUCCCUUCUCUUCCUUUCUCUGCUCCUGCAGGGGCCUGCAAUGCUGGUGCUAGCUCAAUAAAAGCUGUAGGCAUCCACCUUCCACUACACAGCUGUGUUUUCUUACAGUGGUGGAGGUGGGAAGCCUGAGACCAAAGGUGGCUUUGCCUCCUGUCCCUUUCUCACCUCUGUAUUGCUUGUGGUGUCCUUGGCUUGGAGUAAUAUCAUCCUAGUCUCCGCUUAUAUCUGCACAUAGCCUCCUCCAUGAUUUCUGUCUCGUAGGACCUGCCUCACUUCUGCCUGACCUCAUCUAAUAUCAACUGACUCCUUCCUAUUUCCAAACGAGGUCACCUCCACAGGCACAGGGAUUUAGGACUUCAACUGUAAGCCUGAACUGUAGGACAAGAGCAGUAACUACCCCUCUGCCUCUGUGUAGACAUUUACUGGAUCAAGAAUGUUUCUGCAGGGAAAGCAAAUGUGUAACACAUCUCCAUACUCCAUGGUCUUCAAGGAUGAGAUAGAAGUCUUUGAAGACAUUUUAAACCUUGAGGAGGCAGCUCAGGAACACAGAUGCUGAGUGUGUGACCGGCUUCAGGUAGUGCUUGCUCCAGUAGCAGAGUGCUGCAGGUAAGUCUGCUUGGUA
rnacentral:lncRNA from 1 species